rnacentral:rRNA from 1 species
AGAACGAACGCUGGCGGCAUGCCUAAUACAUGCAAGUCGGACGAACUCUUCGGAGUUAGUGGCGCACGGGUGCGUAACGCGUGGGAAUCUGCCCCUUGGUUCGGAAUAACAGUUGGAAACGACUGCUAAUACCGGAUGAUGACGAAAGUCCAAAGAUUUAUCGCCAAGGGAUGAGCCCGCGUAGGAUUAGCUAGGUUGGUGAGGUAAAGGCUCACCAAGGCAACGAUCCUUAGCUGGUCUGAGAGGAUGAUCAGCCACACUGGGACUGAGACACGGCCCCAGACUCCGUACGGGACGGCAGCA